AUCUUAUUAAGAGUAGUGGAGGGAAUGGGCCCUAUGAAACUCAGCAACCUAUUAAAUUAGGUGCUAAAUCCCACAGGAAAUCCUGAAAGAUAAGUU
rnacentral:ncRNA from 18 species